rnacentral:rRNA from 1 species
AACGAACGCUGGCGGCAUGCCUAACACAUGCAAGUCGAACGAAGCCUUCGGGCUUCGUGGCGCACGGGUGCGUAACGCGUGGGAAUCUGCCCUUGGGUUCGGAAUAACAGAGAGAAAUUUCUGCUAAUACCGGGUGAUGUCUUCGGACCAAAGAUUUAUUGCCCAAGGAUGAGCCCGCGUAGGAUUAGCUAGUUGGUGGGGUAAUGGCCUACCAAGGCGACGAUCCGUAGCUGGUCUGAGAGGAAGAUAAGCCACACUGGGACUGAGACACGGCCCAGACUCCUACGGGAGGCAGCAGUGGGGAAUAUUGGACAAUGGGCGAAAGCCUGAUCCAGCAAUGCCGCGUGAGUGAUGAAGGCCUUAGGGUUGUAAAGCUCUUUUACCCGGGAUGAUAAUGACAGAACCGGGAGAAUAAGCUCCGGCUAACUCCGUGCCAGCAGCCGCGGUAA